CCUACGGGAGGCAGCAGUGAGGAAUAUUGGUCAAUGGCCGCAAGCCUGAACCAGCCAAGUAGCGUGAAGGACGAAUGCGCCACGGAUUGUAAACUUCUUUUGUCAAGGGACAAAAUGAGGCACGAGUGCCUUCUCGAGGGUACUUGAAGAAAAAGCAUCGGCUAACUCCGUGCCAGCAGCCGCGGUAAUACGGAGGAUGCGAGCGUUAUCCGGAUUUAUUGGGUUUAAGGGGUGCGUAGGUGGGCUGUUAAGUCAGUGGUAAAAGCCUGGGGCUCAACCCCGUCUGGCCAUUGAAACUGGCGGUCUUGAGAGGACGAGAGGUAUGCGGAAUGCGUGGUGUAGCGGUGAAAUGCUUAGAUAUUACGCAGAACUCCGAUUGCGAAGGCAGCAUACCGGCGUCCAACUGACGCUGAGGCACGAAAGCGUGGGUAUCGAACAGGAUUAGAUACCCUUGUAGUC
rnacentral:rRNA from 1 species